rnacentral:tRNA from 1 species
GAGGGUAUAGCUCAGUGGUAGAGUACAUGCCUAGCAUGCACAAGGUCCUGGGAUCAGUCCUCAGUACUUUCA